rnacentral:rRNA from 1 species
UACGUAGGGGGCAAGCGUUGUCCGGAUUUAUUGGGCGUAAAGAGCGUGUAGGCGGCUAGGUAGGUCCGUUGUGAAAACUCGAGGCUCAACCUCGAGACGCCGAUGGAAACCAUCUAGCUAGAGUCCGGAAGAGGAGAGUGGAAUUCCUGGUGUAGCGGUGAAAUGCGCAGAUAUCAGGAAGAACACCCGUGGCUAAGGCGGCUCUCUGGGCCGAUACUGACGCUGAGGAGCGAAAGCGUGGGGAGCGAACAGG